rnacentral:ncRNA from 1 species
GUCUUGAAACACGGACCAAGGAGUCUAACAUGUGCGCGAGCCGCGGGGCAGUACGAAACCCGUAAGGCGAAAUGAAGGUGAACGCCGGCGCGGUCCGGCGGAGGUUGGAUCCCGUCCCGUCGGGGCGGGCGCACUACCGGCCGAUCUUCUCCGCCCUGUCGGCGAGGUCGAGCGAGAGCGUGCAAGUCGGGACCCGAAAGAUGGUGAACUAUGCCUGAGGAGGUUGAAGCCAGAGGAAACUCUGGUGGAGGACCGUAGCGAUUCUGACGUGCAAAUCGAUCGUCAAAUUUGGGUAUAGGGGCGAAAGACUAAUCGAACCGUCUAGUAGCUGGUUCCCUUCGAAGUUUCCCUCAGGAUAGCUGGCGCUCUGUCGCAGUUUUAUCUGGUAAAGCGAAUGAUUAGAGGUCUUGGGGGCGAAACGCCCUCAACCUAUUCUCAAACUUUAAAUUGGUAAGAAGCCCGACUCGCUCGUUUGGAGCCGGGCAUGGAAUGCGAGUGCCAAGUGGGCCACUCUUGGUAAGCAGGACUGGCGAUGCGGGAUGAACCGAACGCCGGGUUAAGGCGCCCGACGCGACGCUCAUCAGAGCCCACAAAAGGUGUUGGUUGAUAUAGACAGCAGGACGGUGGCCAUGGAAGUCGGAAACCGCUAAGGAGUGUGUAACAACUCGGCUGCCGAAUCAAUCCGCCCCUGAAAAUGGAUGG